rnacentral:misc_RNA from 1 species
GAUGAAGAACGUAGCAAAAUGCGAUAAGUAAUGUGAAUUGCAGAAUUCAGUGAAUCAUCGAAUCUUUGAACGCACAUUGCGCCCUCUGGUAUUCCGGAGGGCAUGCCUGUCUGAGCGUCAUUGUCAACCCUCAAGCUCAGCUUGCUGUUGGGUCCCCGUCGUUGCUUUAACGGCGGACCCGAAAGGUAAUGGCAGAGUCCGUGAGACCCUAGACGCAGCGAGCUUCUAGCACGCGUCUGGACGUUUUUCGGGCUCGGUCUUAACUAGAUGAUAACUUCCGAUUGACCUCAGAUCAGGUAGGGAUACCCGCUGAACUUAAGCAUAUCAAUAAGCGGAGGA